rnacentral:rRNA from 1 species
GCCUGUCUCAGUUCGGAUUGGAGGCUGAAACCCGCCUCCAUGAAGUUGGAUUCGCUAGUAAUCGCGCAUCAGCCAUGGCGCGGUGAAUACGUUCCCGGGCCUUGUACACACCGCCCGUCAAGCCAUGGGAGCCGGGGGUGCCUGAAGUUCGUGACCGCAAGGAGCGACCUAGGGCAAAACUGGUGACUGGGGCUAAGUCGUAACAAGGUAAC